rnacentral:rRNA from 1 species
CCUACGGGCGGCAGCAGUGAGGAAUAUUGGUCAAUGGGCGAGAGCCUGAACCAGCCAAGUCGCGUGAGGGAGUACUGCCCUAUGGGUUGUAAACCUCUUUUGUCGGGGAGCAAAAGCCGGACGUGUCCGGCUGUGAGAGUACCCGAAGAAAAAGCAUCGGCUAACUCCGUGCCAGCAGCCGCGGUAAUACGGAGGAUGCGAGCGUUAUCCGGAUUUAUUGGGGUGAAAGGGUGCGCAGGCGGAUUUUUAAGUCAGCGGUCAAAUCGUGGGGCUCAACCCCAUCCAGCCGUUGAAACUGGGGAUCUAGAGUGUGCGAGAGGUAUGCGGAAUGCGUGGUGUAGCGGUGAAAUGCAUAGAUAUCACGCAGAACCCCGAUUGCGAAGGCAGCAUACCGGUGCACAACUGACGCUCAGGCACGAAAGCGUGGGUAUCGAACAGGAUUAGAUACCCGGGUAGUC